AUUUUUGCGGUGCACUUACAGCUCAAACUGUGAAGCCAUAUUGUUGUAAGGUUGAUGAAAAAUGAGGUCAUGGCCUGUUUCAGUAUGAAGUGGGGGAAGGGGAAGCUUGCUUUCAC